rnacentral:rRNA from 1 species
GACGAACGCUGGCGGCGUGCCUAAUACAUGCAAGUAGAACGCUGAAGCGAGGAGCUUGCUCUUCUUGGAUGAGUUGCGAACGGGUGAGUAACGCGUAGGUAACCUGCCUUGUAGCGGGGGAUAACUAUUGGAAACGAUAGCUAAUACCGCAUAACAAUGGAUGACACAUGUCAUUUAUUUGAAAGGGGCAAUUGCUCCACUACAAGAUGGACCUGCGUUGUAUUAGCUAGUAGGUGAGGUAAUGGCUCACCUAGGCGACGAUACAUAGCCGACCUGAGAGGGGGAACCGCCACACCUGGAACUGGACACGGCCCCAGACUCCUAGGGGGGGCGCCAGAGGGAAUCUUCGGAAAUGGGGGCAACCCUGACCGAGCAACGCCGCGUGAGUGAAGAAGGGUUUCGGAUCGUAAAGCUCUGUUGUAAGUCAAGAACGGGUGUGAGAGUGGAAAGUUCACACUGUGACGGUAGCUGACCAGAAAGGGACGGCUAACUACGUG